rnacentral:rRNA from 1 species
UUAAAAUAAAAUUAAUAAAUUUAUAUUUAAUUGAAGUAAUUUUAAUAUUAAAAUGGGGGUUUUAGUAUUAAUAAAGAAAAAAUUGAUAAAUUUAUAGUAAAUUAGUAUUGUAAAAUAAUUUUGAAAUAAUUUAAAUUUAAUUUAAUAAAAAGUAAAUUUAAUUUAUUGUAUCUUGGGUAUCAGAGUUUAUUAAAUAUUUUUUUUAAAAAAAAAGAUCUCGAAUUAAAAAGAGAUAAUUAAUUAAAAAAGUUAUUGUUAUAUAAAUAUUUUUAAUAGUUAAUUUGAAAUGAAAUGUUAAUCGUUUUUUAAGAUAUCUAGUUUUUUUAGAAAAAAAUUUAAUUUAAAAUUUAAUUAAUAAAUUAAUUAAUUUUUUAAUUAAUUUAAAUUAAAAUUUUAUAUUUUAAGGGAUAAGCUUUAAAAAUUAAAUUUUUAUAAUUAAUAAAAAAUUAUAAUAAAAUUUUUAAUAUUUAUAUUGUAUUUAAAUUAUAAUUUAUUAUAAAUAAUUUUAUUUUAAAUUUAAAUAAAAUUUAAAAUUUAAUUUAAUUUUUUAUAAAAAAAUAAUUUUUUAUAAUUAAAAAUUAUAUAUAAUGAUAAAAUUAGUAUAAUAUAUAUAUAUAUAUAUAUAUAUAAUUUAAUAUAAAUAAUGAAUGGUUGAAAAAUUAAUAAAAAGGAAUUCGGCAAAAAUUUAUAUUCACUUGUUUAUCAAAAACAUGUCUUUUUGUUUAAUAAUUAAAAGUCUAAUCUGCCCACUGAUUUAAAUAUUGAAGGGCUGCAGUAUAUUGACUGUACAAAGGUAGCAUAAUCAUUAGUCUUUUAAAUGGUGACUUGUAUGAAUGAUUGGAUGAAAUAUAAACUGUCUCUUUAUUAUAAGUAGAAUUUAAUUUUUUAAUUAAAAAGUUAAAAUGUAAUUAAAAGACGAGAAGACCCCAUAGAGUUUUAUAUAAUUAUUUAAUUUGAAAUUAUUUAUAAAUUUAUAAAAAAAAAAUUUAAAUUAAGUGAUUUUAUUUUAUUGGGGUGUUAGAAAAAUAAAUUUAACUUUUUUUUAUAUAAAACAUGAAUAAGUGAUUAUUUGAUCCAGAAUUUUUGAUUAUAAGAAAAAAUUACCUUAGGGAUAACAGCGUAAUUUUUUUUUUUAGAUCAAAUAAGAAAAAGAGUUUGCGACCUCGAUGUUGGAUUAAGAUAAAAUUUAAAUGCAAAAGUUUAAAAUUUUGAUCUGUUCGAUCAUUAAAAUCUUACAUGAUCUGAGUUCAAACCGGUGUGAGCCAGGUUGGUUCCUAUCUUUAAUAAGAUAAAAUAUUUUAGUACGAAAGGAUUGAAUAUAUGAAUUAAAUUUAUAAAUAUAUUUGAAUAAUAUUAACUAAUUUAUAAUUUAAAAUUGAUUUUUAUAUGAUAAAUAGUAUAAUAAAAUUAUG